rfam:Xenorhabdus nematophila ATCC 19061 chromosome, complete genome
AUGGUUUCUACCAAAACCAUCACUACGAUUACCACCGGAACCUUAAGUUACGGUGCGGGCUGACGCAUAUACACAAAAUAAAAAAGCCCGUAUCCCACAAGAUACGGGCUUUUUUUUG